rnacentral:rRNA from 1 species
UAGAGUUUGAUCCUGGCUCAGGAUGAACGCUAGCUACAGGCUUAACACAUGCAAGUCGUGGGGCAGCAUGAGGUCAGCUUGCUGACUUUGAUGGCGACCGGCGCACGGGUGAGUAACGCGUAUCCAACCUGCCCUAUACUCAGGGACAGCCCGUCGAAAGGCGGAUUAAUACCUGAUGUUAUUGUUUGAAGGCAUCUGAUGACAAUCAAAGAUUUAUCGGUAUGGGAUGGGGAUGCGUCUGAUUAGCUUGUCGGCGGGGUAACGGCCCACCGAGGCGACGAUCAGUAGAGGUUCUGAGAGGAAGGUCCCCCACACUGGAACUGAGACACGGUCCAGACUCCUACGGGAGGCAGCAGUGAGGAAUAUUGGUCAAUGGAUGAGAAUCUGAACCAGCCAAGUAGCGUGCAGGAUGACGGCCCUAUGGGUUGUAAACUGCUUUUAUACGGGAAUAAAUGAUGACACGUGUGUUGUUUUGUAGGUACCGUAUGAAUAAGGACCGGCUAAUUCCGUGCCAGCAGCCGCGGUAAUACGGAAGGUCCGGGCGUUAUCCGGAUUUAUUGGGUUUAAAGGGAGCGUAGGCCGGCGCUUAAGCGUGCCGUGAAAUGUCCCGGCUCAACCGGGGCACUGCGGCGCGAACUGGGUGCUUUGAGUGCGCGGAACGUAUGCGGAAUUCGUGGUGUAGCGGUGAAAUGCUUAGAUAUCACGAAGAACUCCGAUUGCGAAGGCAGCAUACGGCAGCGUAACUGACGCUGAAGCUCGAAGGUGCGGGUAUCGAACAGGAUUAGAUACCCUGGUAGUCCGCACGGUAAACGAUGGAUGCCCGCUGUUGGCGAUAUAGUGUCAGCGGCCAAGCGAAAGCGUUAAGCAUCCCACCUGGGGAGUACGCCGGCAACGGUGAAACUCAAAGGAAUUGACGGGGGCCCGCACAAGCGGAGGAACAUGUGGUUUAAUUCGAUGAUACGCGAGGAACCUUACCCGGGCUUGAACUGCAGGUGAACGAUUCAGAGAUGAUGAGGUCCUUCGGGACACCUGUGGAGGUGCUGCAUGGUUGUCGUCAGCUCGUGCCGUGAGGUGUCGGCUUAAGUGCCAUAACGAGCGCAACCCCUGUUCUCAGUUGCCAUCGGGUCAUGCCGGGCACUCUGUGAAGACUGCCUCCGUAAGGAGUGAGGAGGGUGGGGAUGACGUCAAAUCAGCACGGCCCUUACGUCCGGGGCUACACACGUGUUACAAUGGGUGAUACAGAGAGUCGGCGACCGGCAACGUCCGUCUAAUCUAUAAAGUCAUCCUCAGUUCGGACUGGGGUCUGCAACCCGACCCCACGAAGCUGGAUUCGCUAGUAAUCGCGCAUCAGCCAUGGCGCGGUGAAUACGUUCCCGGGCCUUGCACACACCGCCCGUCA